rnacentral:rRNA from 1 species
AGAGUUUGAUCCUGGCUCAGAUUGAACGCUGGCGGCAGGCUUAACACAUGCAAGUCGAGCGGGGAAAGGUAGCUUGCUACUUUACCUAGCGGCGGACGGGUGAGUAAUGCUUAGGAAUCUGCCUAUUAGUGGGGGACAACAUCUCGAAAGGGAUGCUAAUACCGCAUACGUCCUACGGGAGAAAGCAGGGGACCUUCGGGCCUUGCGCUAAUAGAUGAGCCUAAGUCGGAUUAGCUAGUUGGUGGGGUAAAGGCCUACCAAGGCGACGAUCUGUAGCGGGUCUGAGAGGAUGAUCCGCCACACUGGGACUGAGACACGGCCCAGACUCCUACGGGAGGCAGCAGUGGGGAAUAUUGGACGAUGGGGGGAACCCUGAUCCAGCCAUGCCGCGUGUGUGAAGAAGGCCUUUUGGUUGUAAAGCACUUUAAGCGAGGAGGAGGCUACCGAGAUUAAUACUCUUGGAUAGUGGACGUUACUCGCAGAAUAAGCACCGGCUAACUCUGUGCCAGCAGCCGCGGUAAUACAGAGGGUGCAAGCGUUAAUCGGAUUUACUGGGCGUAAAGCGCGCGUAGGUGGCCAAUUAAGUCAAAUGUGAAAUCCCCGAGCUUAACUUGGGAAUUGCAUUCGAUACUGGUUGGCUAGAGUAUGGGAGAGGAUGGUAGAAUUCCAGGUGUAGCGGUGAAAUGCGUAGAGAUCUGGAGGAAUACCGAUGGCGAAGGCAGCCAUCUGGCCUAAUACUGACACUGAGGUGCGAAAGCAUGGGGAGCAAACAGGAUUAGAUACCCUGGUAGUCCAUGCCG